rnacentral:rRNA from 1 species
AUUGAACGCUGGCGGCAUGCCUUACACAUGCAAGUCGAACGGUAACAGGUCUUCGGAUGCUGACGAGUGGCGAACGGGUGAGUAAUACAUCGGAACGUGCCUAGUAGUGGGGGAUAACUACUCGAAAGAGUGGCUAAUACCGCAUGAGAUCUACGGAUGAAAGCAGGGGAUCGCAAGACCUUGAGCUACUAGAGCGGCCGAUGGCAGAUUAGGUAGUUGGUGGGAUAAAAGCUUACCAAGCCGACGAUCUGUAGCUGGUCUGAGAGGACGAUCAGCCACACGGGGACUGAGACACGGCCCAGACGCCUACGGGAGGCAGCAGUGGGGAAUUUUGGACAAUGGGCGCAAGCCUGAUCCAGCAAUGCCGCGUGCAGGAUGAAGGCCUUCGGGUUGUAAACUGCUUUUGUACGGAACGAAAAGCCCUGGGUUAAUACCCUGGGGUCAUGACGGUACCGUAAGAAUAAGCACCGGCUAACUACGUGCCAGCCGCCGCCGUAAGAC